rnacentral:rRNA from 1 species
AUUGAACGCUGGCGGCAUGCUUUACACAUGCAAGUCGAACGGUAACAGGCCUUCGGGUGCUGACGAGUGGCGAACGGGUGAGUAAUGCAUCGGAACGUGCCCAGAGGUGGGGGAUAACGCAGCGAAAGCUGUGCUAAUACCGCAUGUGAUCUGAGGAUGAAAGCGGGGACCAGGCAGCAAUGUUUGGCCUCGCGCCUUUGGAACGGCCGAUGUCCGAUUAGGUAGUUGGUGGGGUAAAGGCCUACCAAGCCGACGAUCUGUAGCUGGUCUGAGAGGACGACCAGCCACACUGGGACUGAGACACGGCCCAGACUCCUACGGGAGGCAGCAGUGGGGAAUUUUGGACAAUGGGCGCAAGCCUGAUCCAGCAAUGCCGCGUGCGGGAAGAAGGCCUUCGGGUUGUAAACCGCUUUUGUACGGAACGAAAAGGCUCUGGCUAAUACCUGGGGCUGAUGACGGUACCGUAAGAAUAAGCACCGGCUAACUACGUG